UUUAGUUGCUAGUAUAAAAGAGACCGGUUUGGCUGGCUGUAAGUUUGAUAGGGCACGGUAACGACAUCAGCCGGGUGCCACGUUGACAGGUCCUGGAAGUUCAGGGGAUAGUUAUUUUCCUGUCAUAUUUUAUGUAGGACAUUUGAAGAAAUAUAACUACUGAAAUAGGAGUUUGUUUGGAGGGCACAUCUUUUUCCUAGCCGUGCAUACAUGGGUGUUUAACAAAACCAGUUUCAACCCGAAGGCAGGCAGAGAGUUGCGGGAUUCAGAUAUACGGAGGUCGAUGCAGAUAUAGUGCUACAAUAUGGAAGGACGUGGUGUAGCUCCGGAGAGGAUAACCCGAGACUUGGGAGGCAUCGGAACCGGUUCUGGGCGUGCUUAUCGCAAGUUGGUGGGAAACAGGAACAGUGUCUUCAGAGUGCAGAUUAGUUACAUUAUAAAGUUAAAGUAACUCGAAAUUUAGAAACAAAACCAAAGAAUAUUAUAUUACAGAAAGGGAGAAUUGAAUAUUUGGAAUUUUUUCCUAAUUAUACUAUUUUUGAAUAUUGUUUUAACUUGAAAAGUUAAUACCUGUACAUUUGCUUUACAUCUGAUACGUACUAUCGGACUUUUCAAAAGAACUGUUUACAACGUAUCGGAUAUCUAUAUUGUCAAUUGUUUAUUCAUGUAAAUUUGUGUUGAGAUUGAAA